UUUGGUAUAUUUACCACAAAAAAAGCUUGUUUCCUUACAAGAAAGAAAAACUUUAAAGAAUAAUAUUUUUUUACGGCUUAAGUAUCAAUCAUUACUCAUCCCUAUAGCAAUUCCACUAUAUAAGGCAGAAAACAAUGUUCGUUGCUUUAUUCCCGCUUUGAUCACGGUCAAAACAACAUCUCCCAGUUAAUAUUCACAUUAAAAUUAAAAUCAAAGAUGGAGAGUCGUUGGGCGCGAAUGAAGCGUAGGGGUAACCAGUCAAGGCCAAUGAUUGAAAAAAAAAAUGUUACGGACCCGAAGAACCGGGUGAAAGUGGUAUUAGACCUGAAAUCGCUGGGGGAAUUUAUGAAAAAUGUUACCCGAUCGACUUGUUGCCAUAGAAUGGCAGUAUUUCCGUUAUUCGAUGAG